GAUGGAAUUCAACUAUUUGACCAAAUAACCCUCCUUCACAAUUCAAUCCUACAUAGUUCUUCAAACAAUCUCGCACCAUCAAUUCGUCACACGGAAGCGAUACAUGGAUCCCUUUGCACGAGGAGUUUAAGUUAGAUGUAUUAUAUUCAAGUGUUAUAUAUUCUUGUUGUUUGAUUUUAAUUAUUGAUUGUUGUUCACUUGUUCGUGGCUCAAAAACUUCAAGAUCUGAAGAAAGAGCUCCAAUAUUAUUUAUAUUAUUUUCAUUAAUAAAAUAAUAUUUUUUUUAUUUU